UGUUUAACUUAUGUCUGUACUCAGAUAUUGUUGCUUCCGCUGACUCGUCUAUGAUCGAGCGCUUGUAUUCGAGCCCUCGAGGCCCCUGGCUUGUAUUAGGAUGCUUGUAUGACUUAUUUUAUUUUUAGAGUUGUGUUGUGAUAUCUUCCCGUGAGUCCCUGAUCUUGAUCGUACACGUUUGCGUGUAUGAUUAGUGUACGAUUGAAUCGGGGGCGUCGCAACUAUAUAUGGGAACUAUGAUGGAGAAAUAUUUUUUUAUCUCACAUGUGUGAUUGUGGCUUUUUCUGGCUCAAAUAUGUGGAGAACUAUGAUGGAAAGGCAGUGAGAGAGUUUAAGCAGGAAGACAUGCCACGAUACCGCAUGGGUCUGGCGUACAACCUCUUCAUUCACCCAAUGAACAAUGCCCCAAAGGAGCGUGCAUUCAAGGAUGAGUUGGCGGCUUGAUUUUAUGGAAGGUUAAAGACGAACAACCUCGUUUCCUGUUAGGUCUAGUUCAUGCCUGAGGUGGUAGCAUUUUGGUAGGACUAGAGUAGUGUGCGUUGGUACGUAAAGCGAUGAUACCUCCGGUAAACAGAUGUGUUCUUUUGGUAUGUAAACCGAUGAAACUUUAUUGGGUUCAUAACUUGAUCUUUGGAUGAAGCAUUUUUCCGUUCCUAACAUGAUUAUGCAAGGACAA